rnacentral:lncRNA from 1 species
GUCCAUCGUCUAUUACAACGCUGGCGUCACCCGCGUUAGCGCUACCCUGCCCCGUCGCCGUCCGUCGAGUCCCCUCCGCUCUUCUCCCCGCCGCGUGUCGCUCCUCGUCGCCCGCCGUCACUGGAUCGCGCCCGACUGCAACAGCUCCCUCGACAGCGCCUCGUUCCCUUGGAGGAGCUCCUUGAGGUUCGACUCCGUCUCCGCGAGCGCUUUCUGGAGGUAGUCCUUCUGGCCCUCUGAUUUCUUAAUCUCCUCGUCGCUCGCCCUCGCGAUCUCCUCCAGGCCGGUCAUGAUCGCGGACUUGUCCUCGCGCACGAACGACCUGCCGAACCCUUUGUAGCAUCCGACGCCCGCGGGCAGGGGCUCGAGCUCGUGCCUCGUGAGCGCGCUCCUGUGGAUGUCUUGCUUCUUCUGCAUGAUCGUCGUCACGAGCUGCUUGUGCUU